GACGAACGCUGGCGGCGUGCUUAACACAUGCAAGUCGAACGGAAAGGCCCUGCUUUUGUGGGGUGCUCGAGUGGCGAACGGGUGAGUAACACGUGAGUAACCUGCCCUUGACUUUGGGAUAACUUCAGGAAACUGGGGCUAAUACCGGAUAGGAGCUCCUGCUGCAUGGUGGGGGUUGGAAAGUUUCGGCGGUUGGGGAUGGACUCGCGGCUUAUCAGCUUGUUGGUGGGGUAGUGGCUUACCAAGGCUUAGACGGGUAGCCGGCCUGAGAGGGUUACCGGCCACAUUGGGACUGAGAGACGGCCCAGACUCCUACGGGAGGCAGCAGUGGGGAAUAUUGCACAAUGGGCGGAAGCCUGAUGCAGCAACGCCGCGUGCGGGAUGACGGCCUUCGGGUUGUAAACCGCUUUCGCCUGUGACGAAGCGUGAGUGACGGUAAUGGGUAAAGAAGCACCGGCUAACUACGUG
rnacentral:rRNA from 1 species